CCUCACCAACUUGAGAUACGUGGCGCAAUCGCGCGUCCCAAAAACUGAUAGGGAUUAUCACGGCAGACCACAGACGCAGAUUGUGCGCAUUGGCAAAGGGAGAUUCGGACGGCUUGGGCGGCCGAGUUCAAUACUCGAUUAUUUCAUCAUCAUAUUCAGCUACAGACGUGACGAUACCCACAGCUGUGAGGCCAACAACGGCAAGCUGUUACCAUCACCACCACCACCGCUUGAUCAUAUUGGCUUGAGGCAAAGUCAGUGGAUGGAAUAAACCCGUUGUCAAUGCUUUCUCUGCCUGCGGAAAUUCAACUUGCCAAACGUAGAAAAACACACGGGGAAUAUUGGUUGCCAUUUCACACGGCGAAAGGGACCGUUAUCUCCGCUACAUUUGUUUCGAUUUCCUUCUGGAUACGAGCUGAUACAACCUGUGUGCAUGCUGGUGAUCCUGUUCAUCCUGUU